GCAGGAUGCCUGAUAAAAGGACUAUUUUGAUAGAAUAGGGCAUGUAAAUUUUACUCCUGUUA
rnacentral:tRNA from 1 species